GGAUGCUGUCACACUGAGCAGGCUACAACCUGUCUGAAGACGGUGAGUCAUGUGUGGAUUCUUCCGGAGACACGCAUGCCGUCGAGGUUAAUCACAGGACCAAACGGUCGGCUUCUACUCCCCGGCAGUUUUUCUGGUUUGAAAAAGACUUCAGAAAACUUCAAAAGCAAUCAAGAGGAGUCAAGUUUUUUUUUUUUUGCUUUUGUCUUUUUUAAAUACUCUUUAUUGCUCAGAUGCAGGUUGGUCAGCGAUACAGUGCACUCAACUCAAAAACAGCAUGACAGUGAGCAGAAAUACACGGGACCAUGAAGCUGGAUGACAUGGAGCUUUAAGGUUCUGCCCAACACAAAAAUCACCAAUCACGUCAAGGUGUUUCUAGACCUGCUGACUUAUGGGAAAUGCAGGCCCGGAGGGUGUUUCCUUCACCCAUCCACAGAACAAAGGAAGAUUUCCAUUGGUGGAAUGCAGUUUCGAAAUGACUCAACCAGAACUCACAGAAUGUGAAACUAGGAUUAUCAAUAUGUUGCUGGAGUUUGUGUUUUUUUUAUUUAUUGAUGAGCAAACAACAUAGAAUUGAAAACACUGUUGAAGUUCUGCAAACAUCUGACUAGAAUGUACUGUAUCGGUUUUCAGCAAAUCCAUGCCUCGAUCGUUUUAGACUGUUGUUUAAUGCCCUUGCUUCCUGUUAACAUUCUAAGACAAACACACACACACCCACACACAAGCUUUUCCAGCCUUUGUCAGACCCUGGCUAGUCUAUAUAGUUUGUCAACUGUGGCGUCAUCUACUGUUUUAAUGUCACUCAUUCUUUUUUUUCUUUUUUUUAUGCCAUACUGCUUCCUCUGCGAAUGUUAGAAAUGCAAGCUAUGCUUUCACAACUUCACUAUUAGGAUAGAUGAUUUUAAGGGAAUGGAUAUAAAAGCAAAGUUUUCAAGCUAUUUCUCCACACAACCACUCUAUCUGGUUUAUGUGGAUGACGACAGAACUAAAUUACCAGAUGAAUAAGAAUAAGUGAGAAACAAACUGGCCAACCACGAAGGUAUAUGGCAAAAUGUAUAGUUAAACUCCCAAGCGACGUCAAAUUGCUGCAGUCAGGUAUUAUGCUACUUAGACACAUAAUCUAGGACACUUUAUGAAACUUAUCAACGCCUAUCCUCGGAGAUUCUUAUCAAGUUCCAUCUACACAAUACUGGUACAGAUUUCUCUGCAGUACCUCUGCCUACAGUGACAGACGGGCAGUUCUGGUUAAGACUGGAUGCGCUGUUCACCGAACCGCAGUGAUCCACCACCCCAAAUCCCUGGAGUCAUAGCAAAGCAAACCUCAAGCCCUAGACACAGCGGCACGAACGCGGAUAAGUCCGAGGUCUGGAGAAGAAAGAACAGAAAACAAGAACAACGUGUCCUUCCUCUUGCCUCAAAAACAUGUCCAAUUGUGUACAAAACGGUGGAGCGGGUGUCUCACUAUCACAGUGACUAAGUGUGAGUCACAAGGUCACAACGGUGCGUUCAAAGCCGUGAUCUGCCCCGACGCACGCUGCAGUACGGUGGCAGUGUACUGCAAUAGUGUUACUGAAAAGAUAGGGCUACGAGUGUUCUGUCCGGGGUCCAGUGAACGCCUCUAGUCGCAGUGUGUGUGUUGGGGAGGGGGGGGGUCGCCAAAAUGGCCUCAUGCUGGGGUCCGUUGUGUUUUGCGAUUUUGUUGUUUUGUUUUCAUGAACUACUCUUCCUGUGGUCACAUGGACAAGCAUUCCAACUCUUCUGCUGACAGCGGAGAAAACAUGAUGUCCGCCUUCUUAAAUCAACACAAGCGUAAUAGUUAAAAAGACGUCAAAGACAAAACACUAACUUUCACUAUUGUUCAUUUAUUUAAACCCCCCUCCCCUACAUUUGUUUUAGUUUUUAGUCACUAAAGUCAGCCUUGGUUUCUCAGAGGUAAUUCCACAAAAAAAAAGAAAUGUACAGCACAAAAGAAAUGAAAACGGCGGGAAAGUCCCCAUUCUUGAAAGAAGCCGAGACGCGCUAAAAAGGGCCUCCAGCCAUCUCUCACAACGCGGGUUUGAUUGGUUAAGUGUUAGAGAGAGAGAGAGAGAGAGAGAGAGAGAGAGAGAAUGAGAGAAGGAGAGAGAGAUAUAGUGAUAUAGUGAUAUAUAUAUAUAGAGAGAGAGAGAGCAAGAGAAACUUAGAGAGCGAGAGCGAGAGUGAGAACAUUCGGGUGUGCCCCCGACCCAGCACCAGGGACAGGGCAUGGUGGUGAUUUUCUAAAAGGCUGCAUAUUGUACAUUCACAGCUGUCACGCCCGUCAGAACGCUCCCUACUCCGAGGGAGGGUCAGAGCCAUACACAGAUGCCAUCGUGUGUGUGUGUGUGUGUGUGUGUGUGCCACAGGUUAUCGAGUGCCCCCCUCGUGAUACCCAGCCCCCCCCACCCGACCCUUUGUUUUUGUUGUGCUCCUCUUCCUCGCUCUCGCUCAGAGCAGGGUGAGCCUGGAUGUAACCCCC
ensembl:lncRNA